rnacentral:rRNA from 1 species
GACGAACGCUGGCGGCGUGCUUAACACAUGCAAGUCGAACGGAGCGCCAUGGAAUGAGGUUUCGGCCAAAGGAAAUGGUUGCUUAGUGGCGGACUGGUGAGUAACGCGUGAGGAACCUGCCUUUCAGAGGGGGACAACAGUUGGAAACGACUGCUAAUACCGAAUACGCUUGGGAGACCGCAUGAUCUACCAAGGAAAGGGUGGCCUCUACCUGUAAGCUAUCGCCUGAAGAGGGGUUUGCGUCUGAUUAGGCAGUUGGUGAGGUAACGGCCCACCAAACCUACGAUCAGUAGCCGGUCUGAGAGGAUGAACGGCCACACUGGAACUGAGACACGGUCCAGACUCCUACGGGAGGCAGCAGUGGGGAAUCUUCCGCAAUGGGCGAAAGCCUGACGGAGCAACGCCGCGUGAGUGAUGACGGCCUCGGUUGUAAG